UGGAGUGUUAAAUUUACCUUUUCAUCAAUGAAUUUAGCCCAGAAACGAGCUACGGCUCUGUGAUAAGGUUCUUUAGGCAGGAUAGGAUUGUGCGUCCAGGUCUCGUCAAUAUAUUCCAGAAUGACAAGUGAUUCUGAGAUACCUUUGCCAUUGUGAACGAGGACAGGAACUUUUUUAUGAACAGGGUUAUACUUAAGGAGCAAAGGGCUCUUGUUGGGGAGGUCUUCGUCUAUGUACUCAUACUUGAUCCCUUUUAGUUUCAGGGCUAGUUCUAUUCUGCGAGA
rnacentral:lncRNA from 1 species